CGUCGAAGGUGGGGCUGAUGACUGGGGUGAAGUCGUAACAAGGUAUCCGUACCGGAAGGUGCGGAUGGAUCACCUCCUAACAGGGAGACAACACAAUGAUUUUGAUGCCUGAGUGCUUUUAUUCUUAGGCCGAAAUCCUGUCACCUUAGGUCGAUCGGUACCUCAGCUUUGAAGUUAAGGAUCAGCAGCAAUGUUGAUUGCUUGAUGGAGAUUUUCAGUUCCUAAACUUUGUCUAGGUCACACCCCAAAAGGGAUGAGACUCCUGGGCCAUUAGCUCAGGUGGUUAGAGCGCACCCCUGAUAAGGGUGAGGUCCCUGGUUCAAGUCCAGGAUGGCCCAUUCGGUGUUGGGGGUUUAGCUCAGUUGGUAGAGCGCCUGCUUUGCAAGCAGGAUGUCAGGAGUUCGAGUCUCCUAACCUCCACUGACCGAACUUGAUUCCCAUCUCCAAUUUUUUGGAGUUGAGCUCGAUUGGAGUGUGAUUUAGAUGUGUCCGCUGGAUGACCCCAGCUUCCUGUCAUUCCAAGUUUUAGGUUGAUGCCUUGAAUUUGGUUGAUAAGAUGCUGGGCUCGGAUCAAAUGAUCAAGCAAUUGAUGAUUUGAUUUGAAGUUCUAGCAGAACCUUGACAACUGCAUAGGUGAGUCUGGAAAAAACAAAGCAUCUUACAGAUGCAUUGUUUUGAAUCUGAUCUUCCGAAAGGGAGAUUGGAUCUAGAACAAUGAAAAUUCUUUUGAGCAAGAGCCGAGACUCUUGAACGUUCUUUGACUGGUGUCGAGCCAAUCAGAGUUUGAUCUUGUUUUUAGCAAUAAAAACUUGAGAAUCUGCUUUCAACGGCGGUAAGCGUUCAGGAGGUUAAUUGGUCAAGCUACAAAGGGC
rnacentral:misc_RNA from 1 species